rnacentral:rRNA from 1 species
UCGAGGGGCAGCGGGGUAGUGCUUGCACUACUGCCGGCGACCGGCGCACGGGUGAGUAACACGUAUGGAACCUGCCCGCAGCAGGGGGAUAAGCGGAAGAAAUUCCGUCUAAUACCGCGUAACAACGUUGGGAGGCAUCUCCCGAUGUUUAAAGAUUUAUCGGCUGCGGAUGGCCAUGCGGCGCAUUAGCUAGUCGGCGGGGUAACGGCCCACCGAGGCGACGAUGCGUAGGGGUUCUGAGAGGAAGGUCCCCCACACUGGUACUGAGACACGGACCAGACUCCUACGGGAGGCAGCAGUGAGGAAUAUUGGUCAAUGGCCGAGAGGCUGAACCAGCCAAGUCGCGUGAGGGAAGACGGCCCUACGGGUUGUAAACCUCUUUUGUCGGGGAGCAAAGAGAGUCACGUGUGACUCAUUGAGAGUACCCGAAGAAAAAGCAUCGGCUAACUCCGUGCCAGCAGCCGCGGUAAUACGGAGGAUGCGAGCGUUAUCCGGAUUUAUUGGGUUUAAAGGGUGCGCAGGCGGAGGUGCAAGUCAGCGGUCAAAUUGCGGGGCUCAACCCCGUACUGCCGUUGAAACUGCAUCCCUUGAGUGCGCGAGAAGUAUGCGGAAUGCGUGGUGUAGCGGUGAAAUGCAUAGAUAUCACGCAGAACUCCGAUUGCGAAGGCAGCAUACCGGCGCGCAACUGACGCUCAUGCACGAAAGCGUGGGUAUCGAACAGGAUUAGAUACCCUGGUAGUCCACGCAGUAAACGAUGAA